GAAAAUUUUAGUAAAUUAUAGUCAAUUUUUAUGCAAUGAAACUAUAUAGCUCUUUUUGUUAGAAAUUGUCUUACUAACUAAGCUGCUGGUGGUUCUGUGACGAAGUAGCUCCUGUUGGCUUCCCUUACACCGGGUCAGACACAGGACAUUAAUUAAGGCUGUGUGUGGUGUUUCUGAAAGGUGAGGAGACUGGGCAUUCUGUCUUUUACUCUACAGAUACAUCGUGGGAGACUCAAAGAUUAAAAUGUGGCCACUCACUGUGGAUCAGAAGCAGAAUCUCACAUCAUAACCCCAAAUGACCUGUUACUCACCAUGUGGCCCAGCUGUCUUCAAACUCACCAGCCUCCUGCCUUAGCCUUCUAAAUGCUUGGAUUACAGGCAUGACCCACCAUAACUGGCUUUGUUUUAGUUUCAGAGAAGAUGAAACUGAUGUGCGUCAAAAAGUAAACUACCCACAUUUUAACUGGGCACAUUCCUGUCAAUCUGAUGAGAAUCUAUUUCAUACCCUGCUUUAGCUGGUAGUCUGUCAAGGAAAUGAGCUGAACAUGUCUGUGUACAGCUUUUGUGCCAUCCCUGGAUGAGCGAGCUGUCUGCCUCUAUGUUCUCCACAAAAUGGAAUAUAGCUGUACACCCAAGCCAAGUUAUGGAGGCUGGGAAGACCUAGAAUGUGGCAUCACUAUUUGGAAACCAUGCCGAUUACCGACCGAGCUCUCAAUGGAAAAAUGCAGUCGGCGUGAACCACGCACGAACACAGCAGAGAAAGAAGAAAACACACACCACGAGGAACCCUAAUAGGACAAUACAUUAUAAGCCUCAUGGUACAUCCACUUGGUGUGCUGGGAGAGUCAGGAUGAGGACCUGAGAAGAACAGCAGCUUGAACCUGACUUCAUUUAACAGCCCACUGCCCUCUUGCCAAGAACCCAUCACAGACCUUCCCAGAAGAGAGGGAUGAGCCUCACCUAUGAAUAAGUCCUCAGAAACUCAAAUUUGAUUCUAAUGGAUUGUUUUCUCAGAAAGACUGAGCAUGUCCCCCCACAUCUCUGUCAUUUCCCACAGUAGUAACCUCUGCAGAUGCCACAUAGAAAACAAAACAAAACAAAAAAACAUGAGGUUGGUGGGCAGAUAGGCAGGGUAUAAACAAACAGCCUUGUAACCCAGAAGCUGUGUGAUAUACAGUAAACUUCACAACACUGAAAAGAUGUCCUAUCUGUUAAAAUGGGGUAAUAACAACUACCCGAAUGUUUAGGAAUAGAACUUCAAUAAAUGAUACAUUUUAUAGUACAGCAGACCAUCCUGUAAAGGUUUCAUCCUUCACUGUGGUGAUAAAUAUCCCAAACCACAUUGAAAAGCAUUGCAUCUACAUUUAUCUACACUGUAACUGUACUGUAAAUCAUGGGGGAGGGGAGAAUCAUAAAAACACCACCUGUCACCGUGUCAUUAAAGCAAGUUGGAAGUGAUACUUACAGAAACACAGCAAGAGCACCCCCAGUCACACAGUUCAAUCUCUUAGCAAGCGUUUUCUUUCUAGCCCAGUGGUUCUCAGUUUGGAAUUUUUGGCACUGCCUAGAGAUAGUUUUGUUGUUAAAACUGAGAAAAGAGCCGGGCGUGGUGGCACACGCCUUUAAUCCCAGCACUCAGGAGGCAGAGGCAGG
rnacentral:lncRNA from 1 species